rnacentral:misc_RNA from 1 species
CUACUAGUUGCUGAAAAACAAAACAACGAGGAAAACAGAUGAUGCAGAAUGAAGUUUGACUUGGAAAACAACCACCAAUCAAAUGGAUAAUGAGAACACGACUCUGAAAACUGGAUAUCUAUUGAAAUUUGAGCCAAACAAAAGAUGGAAAAUCCGAUGGUUGGUACUUCAUGAAGAUCAACUCACUUGUCAUCAUCGACGUGACAAGGCAGUUAUAGUCACCUUAAUUUCAUUACAAGGAGCAUCAGUUAUCUGCCCCUGUCUAGAUGACCCUGUAGCUGAUGCUCAGGGAGUGUUCAAGAUUGUUCUGCCGGAGGGAGAAGAGAUAUACCUGCAGGCUGCUGGAAGGAAGGACCGUGAAGGAUGGGCUCAUGCCAUUGGGGCUGUAAUACGCUCCAUCUCUGGCUCAAAACAGGUUUCCAAUGGCAGUGUACCAUUUCCAGCCUUCAGAGCUAAAGUCAAUGUAAGUGAGAUUCUGGGAGCUAUACAGGACCCUGAUGCUGGAGUGAUGCUGGCUAACCAUGUCAGGAACGGAGCUGUACAUAAAAACUGCUUCAAGGGUAGUGAUGUGGUUGAUUGGCUGAUCCGUUGGUCAAUAGUUAGAAAACGAGAUGCUGGAUCAGCCAUGGUCCAAACUGUGCUCAAGUUAGGACACGUCCAGGAGGUUGAUAUCAAUGAUGGUGCUGCAGGGGCCUCGGCAAAAUUCAGGGACGAUGAUAAACUGUACAGAUUUACGUCACUGAAUUUGGACGGCAAGAGGAACAGUUACUAUGACAGUACAGACAGCGACUCGGAAUCUUCUGAUGAGGAGGAGGAGAAUGUUGACAUCGACGUCAAGCUCAGGAAGGGCAAAAUUCUCAGGGAAAGGUUCUUAUUGAAGAGGAGACACAUAGCCAAGGACUGGAGAGUGGUACGGGUCGUGUUGAGGGAAAAACCCAGUACCAUUGAGUACAGUCGAGCUGUCGCACAGGCUAGUGGUGUGGUUUUAAUGUCCAAGUUCAUUAAUCUUGCAACGUAUGAUGUCCAAAUGUCCAGAAAAGACAGCUUUUCUUCUGGUGGUGCAGGUAAAGGGAAGGUGAAGAAGAAAAUCUGCCUGAAGGCCAAAAGUGGUAAAGGUCGUUGUCACAUCUUCAAGGUCAAGGACGAGGAGGAAUGGUACGAGUGGAACUCCGUCCUCCAGCAGCUCACUGGUCAGAAACAAGUUACCCUCUAGCUCAUUGAGGAACGACAAAAGCAGAAUUUUUAUAACACAAUCUCUCAUUGGUAACACUGUAGCUGAUUGGUCAGUUAGUUGGUACACAGUAGCGGAUUGGUCAGUUAGUUGGUACACAGUGGCUGAUUAAUUACUCUAUACCAGGAAAUUUUUGCUGAGUCAAAUAUUUUUCCUUUACAGAUGAAAUCCAUAUUGGCCUGGUGUUAAUUUCACCCUUUAAAUUACAUGUACUUGGUAUGCUAUAUGUUUAAUAAUCACAGAGACUUUGUGAUAUAAAUUCAACCUAAUUACAGCGGUUAAAUAUGGCUGAAGUUACACUGCAGUGGAGAUUUCCUCGUAUACAGUAGUUACUUGGUACACUGUAGCCGAUUGGUCAGUUAAUAGUACGUUGUAGCUGAUUGGUCCGUUAUUUGGGUACACACUCUGAUGAAUUGGUCUGUAGAUUAAGUGAAAAGAGGUUGAUUUGGUGCAAUUUUACAAUAUGUGAUUAAUAAAAAAUGUGUGACUUUGUACAAGUGUAGCUGAUACUGAUUGGUUAAUUGGUGAAUUCUAAGGUUCAUUGAUGUGUCAUCAGCUGUACUUGUUACACAGUUGCUGAUUGGUUAAUAUGAUAUGUUAUAAUCUAACUGAUUGGUUAUCUUAUGUUUACAUGUAUAAAUGUCAAAAGUGGUGCAAAUUAUAACUGGUUUCUUUCUGCAACGGAUUGAUCAGAAAUUUCUUUUAUGCAGUUCUUUUUUUCGUGACACUGGUGAUAAUUGCAAUACCAAUAGUUUUAAAGUUGUAUACAACGUAGGGUUAAUAAAUAUGUCUUAACAGGCCAGUAGGUGAAAAAACAUGAUGGGAACAGAUAUGGUGGUUCAUUUAGUGAUAUGACUCUAUCUUGUUGUCCCGUCGUAGACUAGUCCACAUGUGUGUGACAUGUUACACAUGUGUAGCCUAAUAUACAUAUAUGUGUUAGCAGGUUACACAUGUAAUAUUGUCCGAUCAGCAAAUUUCUAAAACAAAGUUAUUUUAAUAAAACCAUGAUGUACAUGGUAUUAUCAAUACUAAUAAGUAGUUGUUUUUAUCAAUGCUAAAUCUAACAUAUACGAUGUAUCUCACUGCACCAGUACUGGUAUAAAGUUGUCGUUUAGUUGUCGGUGAUAACACAUAAACAGUACAGGCUUCAUGUUUUCUUUAUCUAGACAUUAUCACCUAAAUAUUUCACAGCAUCAUGAGAAAUCAAAAUCCUGUUUAAAAGAAGAUGGCUUAUAUUUUUACCAGAUUAACAAAGGAUAUUUCCAAAUGAACAUUUUCUGAAAAUGGGGUACGAUUAAAACCAAACCAUUUUACCUUGCAUAUAUUUAAACUUACUUGAUAAGUUAUAAAAUUCUUAUUUCUACUGCAUCGAUACAUUCUGUUUUCUUCUUUGUGUAAAUACACAAUGCUCUCUCUAUAUACAUCAGGGUCCAACUCGGGUUAACACCAGUAAGACAUACAUGUAUGAUAUUCACAAAUCACGGAUCCUGUUAAGUUCAGACAUACAUGUAUGAUAUUCACAAAUCACGGAUCCUGUUAAGUUCAGACAUACAUGUAUGAUAUUCACAAAUCACGGAUCCUGUUAAGUUCAGACAUACAUGUAUGAUAUUCACAAAUCACGGAUCCUGUUAAGUUCAGACAUACAUGUAUGAUAUUCACAAAUCACGGAUCCUGUUAAGUUCAGACAUACAUGUAUGAUAUUCACAAAUCACGGAUCCUGUUAAGUUCAGACAUACAUGUAUGAUAUUCACAAAUCACGGAUCCUGUUAAGUUCAGACAUACAUGUAUGAUAUUCACAAAUCACGGAUCCUGUUAAGUUCAGACAUACAUGUAUGAUAUUCACAAAUCACGGAUCCUGUUAAGUUCAGACAUACAUGUAUGAUAUUCACAAAUCACGGAUCCUGUUAAGUUCAGACAUACAUGUAUGAUAUUCACAAAUCACGGAUCCUGUUAAGUUCAGACAUACAUGUAUGAUAUUCACAAAUCACGGAUCCUGUUAAGUUCAGACAUACAUGUAUGAUAUUCACAAAUCACGGAUCCUGUUAAGUUCAGACAUACAUGUAUGAUAUUCACAAAUCACGGAUCCUGUUAAGUUCAGACAUACAUGUAUAAUAUUCACAAAUCACGGAUCCUGUUAAGUUCAGACAUACAUGUAUGAUAUUCACAAAUCACGGAUCCUGUUAAGUUCAGACUACACAGUUGUUGGACUGUCAAUUCUAUAUAUCUGUUACAUGUACACGUCAGCAAUCCAUGUUCAGAAGUUUAGAGUGCAAUUGGAAUGGAAAGGAUAAAUUGAUGACAAUAUCAGUGUGGAGAUAUUUACAAAAGCUUUGUAUUUUAAACAAAAACUACUACUUCCUAUUUUAAACUGAUAUUUUUGCAGUCUAUGGUACAUGGAUAUAAAUAUACCCUUGUAAUAAAAUUCGUUUUCAUGAUUCAUACAAAUUACUAUUACUUGUUGAUAAUAAACAAAUAUAUCAUCUGAGAUCCUUUAUUAGGGUAUUAUCUGUGUGAAGUAGCCAUUGUUCUCCUUCAUUUGUCAUUCUGUCUGUUUUUGAUCAUCAGAUCAUAGUCAUAACAUCACCAAAGAACUUGCCAUAUAAAUAAAUAAAUUUUUAAAUCUAAACCAUAUAAAAUUUUGUGAUAAUAUGUUAUCCAACCACAUGCCGAAGGUUGAUAUUAUGUACAGAUUCAUCAAAGAUCUUCCUUAUAUCUAAAUACUUUGUGCAUAAUGAAACAUUUUAUAUGUAAUAAUUUAAAUGUGCCAUAUUUAUAAACCGUUAAAGAAAGUAAAAGUUGUAUUUUGUUUGCAACCUAUUUAUGUACAGUAAAACCUGAUACUGCUCGGACUUGUCAGCAACAUUUUAAUAUGUAACGGCGUUCAGCAAAGUAUCGAGGAUUACCUCUAAAGGAAUUGUUAGGACAAAGAGGACCUUGAAAUACAUUGACAAUUAGUGAGAUACAGAAUAGUGAGGUUUAACCCUUUCACCCCUAUGUAAAUUGAGUAGACCCUACCAUGCAUUGAUAUGGAUGAGUCCAUUAUGGUCCAUAGUGGUGAAAGGGUUAACUGUAGAUGGUACUGGUGAUUAACCAUAGGUUUGGUAGAGUUAUCUCCCUUCCACCAGGAAACGUCUUUAAUGAUGUCUGUUUUAAAAGAAUUUACUAUUUCUUUUUAAUAAUAAUAUGCAAAAAAUAUUUAUAGACAAAAGUUUUAUGGACAAUUUCCUUAAGAAAAAUACUACAGUAUAUAUAUCGGCUAUUAAAUAGGUUCCUUAUUUGAUUGUUUUAAAUUAAAUUAAUGAAAAAAAACAUGAUGUUUAAAUUAGUUUUAAUGUAAAUGUAUCCAGGUUUUCUAAAACAUUAUGAAGGAGGAUAUUGAUCUAUUGAUGUUAUCAUAGGAGUUAAAAUACCAUGUAUUUGACAUUGUCUAUCAUUGCCAGUCAUAAGGCAGCAUAUAUCAAUAUAAUCUCCUAUGCACCAGCUGUUGUCUCCCCUUACCAGGUUUUCAGUCUUUUUUAUUCAUUCCAUGUUGUGAUGAACAGUUAUUCAGAAUGUGUCACAGUGUCGUAAAUCACAACUUCCAACAGUGGUUACAUGCCAUGCAUAGAUAUCUUUUGUGCUCUGAAAUGUUACAUUGUACUUGGUAUUUUUUUUGUCUUUUUUAACAUUUUUGCUUAAAAUAUUUAUUAUUUUUGUGAAUUAGAUUUCAUAAUUAUUCAAAUAUUUGAUUCCCCCUCCCCCAAUCUAUCCAUUUAAUCUAGUCUUGAUGGUGUAUUUUGAUACAGAUGCUAUAUACUUGUAAAACUGUGAUGAAUAGGUAACAAUGGGUAACAAUGUUGUCAAGUGUUCACUGUAUAGAUACCAUGACAGCAGUGAACCCUGUGGACCUUUUUAUUUUCAUAGUAUAACUUCCAAAUAUACACCAAUAAAUAAUGUUUUAUAUAAACCAUAAAACCGCUGACACUGUCUUAUUUUGAAUUUCUCCUUUAAAUAUUGAAGUGAAAGUCAACAACAGGCCCUGCAGACCUUUUCCUUAGUGUAUGAACACACUAAAUUAACACCAGUGACAGUUACGCUAAUGUUUGUCACUUUAAUGAAACUCUUGUAGGAGAUGUAUACAAGUAAAGGAGCGUUGUCGACUGGGAUUGCCUUUCCUCCGUUUGUUGCGAGUUGUCUGUCAUAUACGUGUUGUCCAUAAGCAGUUAUAUUUUCAACUUCUCUCCAGAAACUGUCAGAAUUUGAUGAAACUAUAUGGUAAUCUAUAUACUCUAGAAGGGGUUGACUUCUGUAGAAGGCUGAGGGGCAGGGCCAUUGCUUAAAUAAUCAGGGGUCACAGAGUGAGUGCAAAAUGUUCAAAUGGCAUCUUUUCUGAAACUUCUUCGUUAAUUUUCAUCAUAUUCAAUAAUCCUUAGAUGAUGAGGAUAAAAUUGAUAAUCAAAAACGCUUUUACCCUGCACUACCUUCAAAUUGCAUCUCCAGUGGCUCAUAUUGUUGGAGUUUGACCACUGUUAAAAUAAUCCUUAGAUGAUGAGGAUCAGAAUAUCAAGUCAGGAAGGGGCUACCUCCAGAGGGGCUCAUUGGGGUCACUAAUAGCGAAAACCUCAAAUGACACUCUUCUCUAAGUUACUUGUAGAUUUAGACUAUGCCCAAAAUUAGGGGACACUUCCCCCACUUAGCUUUACUCACAUAAAGUAAGAUUCCACUCAAUAUUCAUACUUUCAAUCAGGUGACCAUUAGGGCCCAUGGGCCUCAUGUUUUUUCUUAUGAUAUAUUUCAGAAUAUGCUAUAAUAUGUACUAAAUCCC